AGACCAGACUCCUACGGGAGGCAGCAGUGAGGGAUAUUGGGCAAUGGGGGAAACCCUGACCCAGCGACGCCGCGUGAGGGAAGACGGUCUUCGGAUUGUAAACCUCUGUCUUUGGGGACGAAAAAGGACGGUACCCAAGGAGGAAGCUCCGGCUAACUACGUGCCAGCAGCCGCGGUAAUACGUAGGGAGCGAGCGUUGUCCGGAAUUACUGGGUGUAGAGGGCGUGCAGCCGGGAAGACAAGUCAGAUGUGAAAUCCCGCGGCUCAACCGCGGAACUGCAUUUGAAACUGUUUUUCUUGAGUACCGGAGAGGUCAUCGGAAUUCCUUGUGUAGCGUUGAAAUGCGUAGAUAUAAGGAAGAACACCAGUGGCGAAGGCGGAUGACUGGACGGCAACUGACGGUGAGGCGCGAAAGCGUGGGGAGCAAACAGGAUUAGAUACCCGCGUAUG
rnacentral:rRNA from 1 species